UCCGACCUCAGAUCGGACGAGAUUACCCGCUGAAUUUAAGCAUAUAACUAAGCGGAGGAAAAGAAACUAACAAGGAUUUCCCCAGUAACGGCGAGUGAAGCGGGAAUAGCCCAGCACCGAAUCCCUCAGUGUCACGCUGACGGGAACUGUGGUGUGUGGGACGCCACCAGUCGCGUCGGAGGGCGCCGAAGUCCUCCUGAUCGGGGCUUCACCCAGAGCGGGUGUAAGGCCUUUGCAGGUGCCUCUCUGCGCGGCCGCGAGCGUCUCAGGAGUCGGGUUGUUUGGGAAUGCAGCCCAAAGC
rnacentral:rRNA from 2 species